rnacentral:lncRNA from 12 species
CUUUUCUACUGACCUUAAAAGUGGCUACUUUAUACCCAUUCCAGUGGAAAUAAAUGUGGCUGAACUCUUCUAAUAGAAAAUCAAUGCGCUCCUCCACGAGUGUGAACUUUGCAGGAGCAAUCACUGGAGGAAGUCCCUGGGCUGAUGGUACUGCCCAUUCCUCUGCUGUUACCAUUCCUCCUUGGAGUUCAUGGAUCCCAAAAAAGUGUGUGUCUAUCUGUGGCAACGACCACAGGUAUAAUUAGAUUGGCUGUCAACAAGCCAUAGAAGAUCUUCUCAGGUGCCUGGUGCUUUGUCCAGCAGAUUACUAGAUUUACCACAGGAGCAUCUUACAGCCUUCUGGUAGAGCUGAAGGUAAUGGGAAGGCCCAAAGGAGAGGAGUCAGAGGCACAGCCUGGGGAAUGUGUCUUCAUUCCUUCAACACAUCCUGUGGCAGGAUCCAAAUAGCCUCACCAGCUUUCCUGUUCCUGCACAUGAAAAAUGGUAUCACUGUAAAUAAAUAAAACCCAAAGUCCCCUAACCUGUGGCAUCAGAAGUAGCAGGACCUCUCUGAGAAGUCAGUAAGUACGAAGAAGGAAAGUCUCUGGCCUCUACAGUAAGUCCUGUUGGCUUCUCCUUUUUGGGAUUUCUUCUGCCAAAUCUCUGCUGUGUGCCAGCACUGGCAUCCCUUGUAGCCAUCCCCUUGUGCCAUUUUUCCUGCUGUCAAAACAUGGAGGAAUUGGAGCACGUGCAAAGACAGAACUGUAAAAAUGUCUUUUUCUACAGCACCUGAAAAACAUCCCUGAGGGGGACCUGAGGGAGCAGGUGAGUUUUAC